AACCAGCACCUCAAGUGGUCAGGAUGAUUAUUGGGCCUAAAGCAUCCGUAGCCGGCUCUGUAAGUUUUCGGUUAAAUCUGUACGCUCAACGUACAGGCUGCCGGGAAUACUGCAGAGCUAGGGAGUGGGAGAGGUAGACGGUACUCGGUAGGAAGGGGUAAAAUCCUUUGAUCUAUUGAUGACCACCUGUGGCGAAGGCGGUCUACCAGAACAUGUUCGACGGUGAGGGAUGAAAGCUGGGGGAGCAAACCGG
rnacentral:rRNA from 1 species